rnacentral:piRNA from 1 species
UGAAACUCAAAUGAAAGGGUUCCAGGUU